UACGGGGGGGGCAAGCGUUGUUCGGAAUUACUGGGCGUAAAGGGCUCGUAGGCGGCCCGGUAAGUCGAACGUGAAAUCCCCGAGCUCAACCCGGGAACUGCGUCCGAGACUGGCGGGCUCGAAUUCGGGAGAGGGAUGUGGAAUUCCAGGUGUAGCGGUGAAAUGCGUAGAUAUCUGGAGGAACAUCGGUGGCGAAGGCGGCAUCCUGGACCGAUAUUGACGCUGAGGCGCGAAAGCCAGGGGAGCAAACAGG
rnacentral:rRNA from 1 species